GCGGGGAAUAUUGGACAAUGGGCGAAAGCCUGAUCCAGCCAUGCCGCGUGUGUGAAGAAGGUCUUCGGAUUGUAAAGCACUUUAAGUUGGGAGGAAGGGCAGUAAGUUAAUACCUUGCUGUUUUGACGUUACCGACAGAAUAAGCACCGGCUAACUUCGUGCCAGCAGCCGCGGUAAUACGAAGGGUGCAAGCGUUAAUCGGAAUUACUGGGCGUAAAGCGCGCGUAGGUGGUUUUGUAAGUUGGAGGUGAAAUCCCCGGGAUCAACCUGGGAACUGCCACCAAAACUGCAUGACUAGAGUACGGUAGAGGGUAGUGAAAUUUCCUGUGUAGCGGUGAAAUGCGUAGAUAUAGGAAGGAACACCAGUGGCGGAGGCGACUACCUGGACUGAUACUGACACUGAGGUGCGAAAGAGUGGGGAGCAAACAGGAUUAGAUACCCUUGUAGUCC
rnacentral:rRNA from 1 species